UACGGAGGGUGCAAGCGUUAUCCGGAUUUACUGGGUUUAAAGGGUGUGUAGGCGGACUUUUAAGUCAGCGGUGAAAUCUCCGGGCUCAACCCGGAAACUGCCAUUGAUACUAGUUGGUCUUGAAUAUUGUGGAGGUGGGCGGAACGGGUCAUGUGAGCGGUGAAAUGCUUAGAGAUGACCCGGAACACGAUGCGAAGGCAGCCCACUACGCAA
rnacentral:rRNA from 1 species